GCUGCUCUCUCCAUGUGUCCACAGGUCCUGCCAGAAGCCUGCUCCUGUGUGAGCUUCCCAUGGGGUCACAGCUUCUUUUGGGUAUCCACCUACUGUGACAUGGGGUCCUCCAGAGGCUGCAGGUGGAUCUCUGCCUGCUGUGGUCCACCAUGAGCUGCAGGGGAAUCUGCUCCAGAGCCUGGGGCACUUCUUCCCCUCCUGCAAUGACCUUGGUGUCUGCAGGGUUGUUUCUCUCACUCCUCUCUUCUCUGGCCACAACUGUUUCUACAAAAUAACUCUUUCUUUUUUUUUAAUAUGUUAUUAGGCACUGAUUGUCUUGGCCUUGGCCAGCAGUGGGACUGCCUCAGAGCCAGCUGGCAUUGGCUUGGUCAGACAAAGGGAAAGCUUCUGUCAGCUUCUCAGAGAAGCCACACUAUAUCCUUCCUACUACUAGAACCUUACCAGGCAAAACUAAUACACCAGUCCUGCCGACUUCCAUUUCUUGUUGUUUUCCUUCUUCUGAAUUUACUCAUUGCAGCACCAUCACAGAGCUCAGUACCAUUCUUAUCUUCUGAGAACAAAUUGAUUAUCGAGCAGAUAAUGCAGCAACAAAAUAGGAAUAGUGCUGUUUAUGAUCUGACUUGCUCAUUACUUCAGGUUCUCUGUAGUGCCAUUACAUUCCUGAUGCUGGGAAACUCUGCGGGUGCUGCCAGUGCCAAUCUGUUUAUGGGUGUUGCAGGAUACUCUUGAGUAGAUUAUCCUUUACAGCCUGGCACUUUGGCAUUUGAAAAGUCAAGACUUGCCUGUGUUGUUAUUGCUAUAAUAUUGAAGACUAAUUCACAAAGAGCUGAUCAUGACUCUUGUAAGAGAGUACUGCAGCCUGAACUUUGAGAAUCAAAUGAUUGUGAAUGGAGGUCAGACUGCUUUUAGAAAUGAAAGAGUAUACAGCUUAUUUUAAAGCAAGGAACUAUUUUUUGAGAUGUGCUGCACAGUAAGAACCAGUCUUCCAUUCUGUCAAAUAUCUGAUAAAUAGGAGGUCUCAGAGAGGAAAAUUGAAGUAAGCUGAAGUAUUUAAAAUUUCUUUUCCUUUUUAUGGCAAAAAAUUACUGUUUGAAACAAAACCUGUGGCAGUUAGGGUGCCAUAUUUAUGCACAUUAACAAGGAUAUUUUUAUUGGACCAGAGCUCUUGUGGUACAAAAAGCAUUCCAGCAUCCAAUUUCAAAAUCCUUCAUCUUUUCUUCAGGGGCUGGGGGAUGUUGACAGAACUUUGACAAUUUUGGAAAUGGUGACCAGCUAAAGCAUUUCUUGGAGCGACAGCUGAUGUCUGCAAUUGGUGGACUUGGCAGCUCUUGAAAAAAGUUGGUGCAGGGUGCAGUGUGUUUGCUUCCAGAGAGCCCAAGAUACCCUUCCAUAACAGCAGGCAUGUUAUUUUGGCAAAAAUUUUAACUUUGCUUUUCCAUGUGAUUUCUAUGUGGCUUUACUACAGAAGGAUAUUCUCUAAUUUUUAAAUUGUUAUGCAGCAAGGUUUUCUUUUGUUGAACUGGUUUCAGUGGAAUUUGCAUUACAUUUUAGUACAAAGUAGGACAGCCCUUAAAAUUUUAGCUCUUUUGGCAAAUUAUUCUUGGUAUUUUUCCAAGUAUGUGCCUAAAAAAGGUAACUGGGAGUCUAUCUCCUCUAGGCCUUGUUAUACCUACUUUCUUAUUCUGUUUUAAUUUAUUGGCCUCUCAGAAGCUGAAGGGGAAAUCCGUAAAACCCUAAUUCAAAGUGGAACUGUAUUUUCCCACUGUCCCUAAAACUGAACUUUCUUCAUCAAAAAUGCAUUCAAAUAUCUAUACUGCCCAGAGUGUACUGGGGAGUCCAUCUGGAAACAAAAUAUUUGUCUGUGGCUUUGGCAAGUUUCCCAGUCACUGCUGAAGAUCCAGUUUCCUUGAAAAAGCAAGAAACGUUGUCCUCCGUCAAUACAUGACUUUCCCCAUCAGAUGGUGCUCGAGGACAGAUUUAUUGGGCAUUUCAUUCUCCAGCACACAAAUUCUGAUACAACAUGAAGGAUGUCUCCUCUGCAGGCUCAGAAAAAGUGCUCACGUGUUUUUCCUUUGCAGGAAAGGGAAAAAAAAUUUUAAAAAAGGCAAUGGUAAACCUCUGACCCAAACCAGAGUGCAAGUUGAACGAUAAGGGCUAACUGGAACAAUGCCUGUACCACCUGCUGCUGUCAUUGCUACUGAAAAGGAGGGUACCCAGAAAUCAGACCUGGCAAGGGUCUGAUUCAGCAGUAGUGGAAAAGAGCCUGAAAAGGUUGGGAAGACCAGCAGUGAGGAAGGCAGAGGGUACUCGCAAGGACACAGAGUCACAGAAGAUUUGCAAUUCUGCUUCACAGUAUGACUGCUGGAGAUGUGCCUUGAUGCUCGUAUUCUAUGGAUUUCAAGUGCUUUGGAAAGGUAAAAACAUGCUAUCAUGUUUUGAAGCACAAAGAGCUUAAGACCGUAUUUCAUAAAAACGACCUUCAAAUUGAUGUGCUUGUACUAUGGGGCACCAUUUUAAGCACAAAUAAUGUGAGCGUGCCCUGCAUUAAUGGGCAGCCAGCAUAGCAGUAAGGUUCCUGAAACCUGCAUUCAUUAUUUAAAAUUGUGCCAUAAAAAAUAACAA